rnacentral:rRNA from 1 species
UGGCGAACGGGUGAGUAACACGUGGGCAACCUGCCUAAAANAGGGGGAUAACACUUGGAAACAGGUGCUAAUACCGCAUAACCAUAGUUACCGCAUGGUAACUAUGUAAAAGGUGGCUAUACUACCGCUUUUGGAUGGGCCCGCGGCGCAUUAGCUAGUUGGUAGGGUAAAGGCUUACCAAGGCAAUGAUGCGUAGCCGAAUUGAGAGGUUGAUCGGCCACAUUGGGACUGAGACACGGCCCAAACUCCUACGGAAGGCAGCAG